GAACCUACCUAUAAGACUGGGAUAACUUKCGGAAACCGGAGCUAAUACCGGAUAACAUAUUGAACCGCAUGGUUCAAUAGUGAAAGGCGGCUUUGCUGUCACUUAUAGAUGGAACCGCGCCGUAUUAGCUAGUUGGUARGGUGACGGCUUACCAAGGCAACGAUACGUAGCCGACCUGAGAGGGUGAUCGGCCACACUGGAACUGAGACACGGUCCAGACUCCUACGGGAGGCAGCAGUAGGGAAUCUUCCGCAAUGGGSGAAAGCCUGACGGAGCAACGSCGCGYGAGUGAUGAAGGUCUUCGGAUCGUAAAACUCUGUUAUCAGGGAAGAACAAAUGUGUAAGUAACUGUGCACAUCUUGACGGUACCUGAUCAGAAAGCCACGGYUAACUACGUGCCAGCAGCCGCGGUAAUACGUAGGUGGGCAAGCGUUAUCCGGAAUUAUUGGGCGUAAAAGCGCGGCGYRGGCGGUUUUUUAAGUCUGGAUGUKGAAAGCCCACGGGCUUCAACCGUGGAAGGGUCMUUUGGGAAACUGGRAAAACYUUGGAKUGCMGAAMGAAGGGAAAAGUGGGAAAUUUCAUGUUGURAGCGGGKGAAAUUGCGCAGAAGKAAUGGRMGGAACCCCCRGUGGGCGAARGGCGACUUUUCYUGGGUCUGUUAACUKGACGC
rnacentral:rRNA from 1 species